GGGAGGAGGGGGCAGAAAAGAUGGCUGGAAAUGGGGCUGGGGGCACUGAGCCCGAAUUCUCCCCCCAUAGGUCGGGAGUACAGCUCGUCCAGGAGGCGGUCCCGAUCCCGAUCUCGGAGCCCCCAUUACCGUCACUGAGGGUCAUGGAAAUAAA